UACGUAGGGUGCGAGCGUUAAUCGGAAUUACUGGGCGUAAAGCGUGCGCAGGCGGUUUUGUAAGCCAGAUGUGAAAUCCCCGGGCUCAACCUGGGAAUGGCAUUUGGGACUGCAAGGCUGGAGUGCGGCAGAGGAGACUGGAAUUCCUGGUGUAGCAGUGAAAUGCGUAGAUACCUGGAGGAAUACCGGUGGCGAAGGCGGCAUCCUGGACCGGCAUUGACGCUGAGGAGCGAAAGCGUGGGGAGCGAACAGG
rnacentral:rRNA from 1 species